AUUCCAGCUCCAAUAGCGUAUAUUAAAGUUGUUGCAGUUAAAAAGCUCGUAGUUGGAUUUCUGCCAGGGUGCCAAUGUCCGCCGAAGUGCGUGCGCAGCGGCGCCCUCGCAUCCUUCUGUUAACGCCUCUCGGCAUUUACUUGCCGGUGGUGGGCUCAGAUAAUUUACCUUGAGAAAAUUAGAGUGUUUCAGGCAGGCUAGGCCGGAAUACAUUAGCAUGGAAUAAUGGAAUAGGACUACGGUCUCGUUGUUGGUUUGAGGGACUGGAGUAAUGAUUAAUAGGGAUAGUUGGGGGCAUUAGUAUUUAAUUGUCAGAGGUGAAAUUCUCAGAUUUGUUAAAGACUAACUUAUGCGAAAGCAUUUGCCAAGGAUGUUUUCAUCG
rnacentral:rRNA from 1 species